GCGGACAAGUUGUAGCAACGUCUCCUCAGUGACAGAGACAACCAUUGAGGUUUCACAUGUAAUGCGAUCCAGGGUUACUCUCAUCAGUAUUCUUGAAGUUGGAUGACGCUUUGAGAAAAGAAUUUUGCCCAGAAAAAGUUACCAUACACAUCUCAAAUUCAAAUCACCAGUAAUAUUAAAAUUUGAAAAACAAUGAACUAAUUGCAAAGUAGAUGGAUAGAAGGAUAAGGCUCAAGAAAAUGAAUAUGUUCGUGAGCAAAAUACACCAGUUUAUCUAGACGAUUAUGGCAGAGUUGAUGAAUUGGUUGAACCUGGUACUAAAUAUCUAAAUGAG
rnacentral:lncRNA from 1 species